rnacentral:rRNA from 1 species
UACGUAGGGUGCAAGCGUUGUCCGGAAUUAUUGGGCGUAAAGGGCUCGUAGGCGGUCCAUCGCGUCGGGAGUGAAAAGCUGGGGCUCAACCCCAGUCCUGCUUUCGAUACGGGUGGACUAGAGGUAUGCAGGGGAGAACGGAAUUCCUGGUGUAGCGGUGAAAUGCGCAGAUAUCAGGAGGAACACCGGUGGCGAAGGCGGGUCUCUGGGCCGAUACUGACGCUGGGGAGCGAAAGCGUGGGGAGCGAACAGG